rnacentral:rRNA from 1 species
UACGAAGGGGGCUAGCGUUGUUCGGAAUUACUGGGCGUAAAGCGCACGUAGGCGGAUACUUAAGUUAGGGGUGAAAUCCCAGAGCUCAACUCUGGAACUGCCUUUAAUACUGGGUAUCUCGAGUCCGGAAGAGGUGAGUGGAAUUCCGAGUGUAGAGGUGAAAUUCGUAGAUAUCGGGAGGAACACCGGUGGCGAAGGCGGCGACCUGGGUAGAUACUGACGCUGAGGCGCGAAAGCGUGGGGAGCAACAGG